rnacentral:rRNA from 1 species
GCGGUAAGCGCCCUUCGGGGUACACGAGCGGCGAACGGGUGAGUAACACGUGGGUGAUCUGCCUCGUACUUCGGGAUAAGCCUGGGAAACUGGGUCUAAUACCGGAUAUGACCAGGGACUGCAUGGUUUCUGGUGGAAAGAUUUAUCGGUGCGAGAUGGGCCCGCGGCCUAUCAGCUUGUUGGUGGGGUAAUGGCCUACCAAGGCGACGACGGGUAGCCGACCUGAGAGGGUGACCGGCCACACUGGGACUGAGACACGGCCCAGACUCCUACGGGAGGCAGCAGUGGGGAAUAUUGCACAAUGGGCGAAAGCCUGAUGCAGCGACGCCGCGUGAGGGAUGACGGCCUUCGGGUUGUAAACCUCUUUCGACAGGGACGAAGCGCAAGUGACGGUACCUGUAGAAGAAGCACCGGCCAACUACGUGCCAGCAGCCGCGGUAAUACGUAGGGUGCGAGCGUUGUCCGGAAUUACUGGGCGUAAAGAGCUUGUAGGCGGUCUGUCGCGUCUUCUGUGAAAACUCACAGCUCAACUGUGAGCUUGCAGGGGAUACGGGCAGACUAGAGUACUUCAGGGGAGACUGGAAUUCCUGGUGUAGCGGUGAAAUGCGCAGAUAUCAGGAGGAACACCGGUGGCGAAGGCGGGUCUCUGGGAAGUAACUGACGCUGAGAAGCGAAAGCGUGGGUAGCGAACAGGAUUAGAUACC